rnacentral:rRNA from 1 species
CUGGCGGCGUGCUUAACACAUGCAAGUCGUAACAAGGUAGCCAGCUUGCUGGGUGGAUUAGUGGCGAACGGGUGAGUAACACGUGAGUAACCUGCCCCCGACUCUGGGAUAAGCCCGGGAAACUGGGUCUAAUACCGGAUAUGACCUCUCACCGCAUGGUGGGUGGUGGAAAGAUUUAUCGGUGGGGGAUGGACUCGCGGCCUAUCAGCUUGUUGGUGAGGUAAUGGCUCACCAAGGCGACGACGGGUAGCCGGCCUGAGAGGGUGACCGGCCACACUGGGACUGAGACACGGCCCAGACUCCUACGGGAGGCAGCAGUGGGGAAUAUUGCACAAUGGGCGAAAGCCUGAUGCAGCGACGCCGCGUGAGGGAUGACGGCCUUCGGGUUGUAAACCUCUUUCAGUAGGGAAGAAGCGAGAGUGACGGUACCUGCAGAAGAAGCGCCGGCUAACUACGUGCCAGCAGCCGCGGUAAUACGUAGGGCGCAAGCGUUAUCCGGAUUUAUUGGGCGUAAAGAGCUCGUAGGCGGUUUGUCGCGUCUGCCGUGAAAGACCAGGGCUCAACCCUGGUUCUGCGGUGGGUACGGGCAGACUAGAGUGAUGUAGGGGAGACUGGAAUUCCUGGUGUAGCGGUGAAAUGCGCAGAUAUCAGGAGGAACACCGAUGGCGAAGGCAGGUCUCUGGGCAUUUACUGACGCUGAGGAGCGAAAGCAUGGGGAGCGAACAGGAUUAGAUACCCUGGUAGUCCAUGCCGUAAACGUUGGGCACUAGGUGUGGGGGACAUUCCACGUUUUCCGCGCCGUAGCUAACGCAUUAAGUGCCCCGCCUGGGGAGUACGGCCGCAAGGCUAAACUCAAAGGAAUUGACGGGGGCCGCACAAGCGGCGGAGCAUGCGGAUUAAUUCGAUGCAACGCGAAGAACCUUACCAAGGCUUGACAUGUUCCAGACCGCUCCAGAGAUGGGGUUCCCUUCGGGGCUGGUUCACAGGUGGUGCAUGGUUGUCGUCAGCUCGUGUCGUGAGAUGU